GACGAACGCUGGCGGCGUGCUUAACACAUGCAAGUCGAACGGAAAGGCCCUGCUUUUGUGGGGUGCUCGAGUGGCGAACGGGUGAGUAACACGUGAGUAACCUGCCCUUGACUUUGGGAUAACUUCAGGAAACUGGGGCUAAUACCGGAUAGGAGCUCCUGCUGCAUGGUGGGGGGUGGAAAGUUUCGGCGGUUGGGGCUGGACUCGCGGCUUAUCAGCUUGUUGGUGGGGUAGUGGCUUACCAAGGCUUUGACGGGUAGCCGGCCUGAGAGGGUGACCGGCCACAUUGGGACUGAGAUACGGCCCAGACUCCUACGGGGGGCAGCAGUGGGGAAUAUUGCACAAUGGUCGGAAGCCUGAUGCAGCAACGCCGCGGGCGGGAUGACGGCCUUCGGGUUGUAAACCGCUUUCGCCUGUGACGAAGCGUGAGUGACGGUAAUGGGUAAAGAAGCACCGGCUAACUACGUG
rnacentral:rRNA from 1 species